rnacentral:rRNA from 1 species
UGGGGAAUUUUCCGCAAUGGGCGAAAGCCUGACGGAGCAAUGCCGCGUGGAGGUGGAAGGCCUACGGGUCGUCAACUUCUUUUCUCGGAGAAGAAACAAUGACGGUAUCUGAGGAGUAAGCAUCGGCUAACUCUGUGCCCG